rnacentral:rRNA from 1 species
UACGUAGGGCGCAAGCGUUGUCCGGAAUUAUUGGGCGUAAAGAGCUCGUAGGCGGCCUGUUGCGUCCGCUGUGAAAUCCCGGGGCUCAACCCCGGGCGUGCAGUGGAUACGGGCUGGCUGGAGGCAGGCAGGGGAGAACGGAAUUCCUGGUGUAGCGGUGAAAUGCGCAGAUAUCAGGGGGAACACCGGUGGCGAAGGCGGUUCUCUGGGCUUGUACUGACGCUGAGGAGCGAAAGCGUGGGGAGCGAACAGG